UCAGUGCGGCACGCAGCCGCAGUUGAAGUGGACGCUACUGGAACAUUCCGAAACCGGCGGAUUAUGGAAGGCCAUAUUAUGGCAACGAUUAUUUUCCUUCUGUUUCCACUUUUUUUUUCUUUCUUGCAGACGAGCGGUUGCACCGAGUUCUUGAUCUCGGCGAUAACGGCUGUUGCGGUCCAGUGUCGACGAGCGAUAAUGAACGGCGCACGAAGGAAAGACGCCUCGGCACAGCAGCGCAUGCGCCAACAGUUGAGAGUCGCGCUUAAAUUUCGGCCGCCGAGACCCGCCCUUCAUUUUGCGUUUCACGCUGCAGCCGCCUGUCAGCUGAACCUCUGCAUCGUACCGUAUAUGCUCUAGCAGCGAUUGUCGACCACAUCACCGACCCCGAAACAGCCAUGGGUUCCGGCGCUGGCUUCUGCUGUAUGGCGCGCUUCGAAGCUCUAGGUCGCGGAUGCACCAAAUAUGGCCUAAACUUCUGCAAUUGCGGUUACGGGACUCACUUUUGCUCCGGAAUUCUCGCACGGUCCAUUGGAACUCCCGGAAUACGUAUGCGACGUGCGGCGGCCAUUGCAUCCUUUCUCACGUACGAGCUGUCACGCCUGACGCCAACGACGCCGUUGCUGCCGACAAGUCUGAAGUCUCGUGCUGUCGCGGCCUUUUCUUUUGUGCCCGUGUUCCUACGAACGAACUCACCCUGCAACUGUCGUCAGCACGUGGUUCCACUACCUUGUGAGCUGUGUGUGUGCAGAUCGUGUAACCAAGUGACCGCGGCACUGACCUGAGGGACAACGCAGCAACCGUCGCCGCAGCGUCGCUUCGGCAUCUAAUCGCUGAGGUGGGAGUGUUUAGCUUGCGAGGGUGGCGCGGCCAUUACCUUCCUCAUCAAAACUGAUUGACAACAUUGGCAAAUUAUGUGCGGUUAACUGUAAUACUUCAUAGGCACGAGCUUCCUUGUACGGCCGCAGCCGCAUCGGGUCGUCGCCGUAACGGAAGCGGAGAGGACGGGGCGGGGCGAUUCUAGCUUCAGGCUUAGCUAACACUAGACAGGUAGCCGACACUGCGCAGGCCACAGCUGGCAGGAGUCCUCUCUCGUUUGCGACACGGCCAUCGGCACGUUCCGAGCGCUAUCACUUCCCGGCCACAAUUUCGCGUCCACGCGCGCGAAAGGGCGCGAAAUGUGGAAUCGCGGAAGUCGGUGGCAUCCGGAAUUAGUGUCAGGCUAACCAGUGGCGUAUUACUUCCAGUUCGUCUAUAGUAUACGCUGAAGCAAGGACGUUGCCUUCAGUCCGCAGCGCGGCGCGCUGCGGCCAAAGUACGUGGCCACUUUUUUUUCUUUUCCAUUCCUUCUGCCACGCUGUUUUUGUCGCUCGACACGAGGACCGUGUUUGACGAGUUCAUCUCCCACGGCUCGUGCGAUGACGCUUGUAAUGGUGAGUACCUACUUUCUGGUUAUAUUCCUAACUUGAAAAGCUGCUAUUUUUUAAGUUUCAGGUACACACCCUAGGCCUCCGCUUCCAGCGCACUCCAGCAACGUCCCUGCGUCCAGCAGUGUUCCGGACGGUUGACGUUCAGUGCCUGUCGUCCCACACAGCUACUGGUGUCCUGGCCAACGAAGCAACCUGCACGACCCGCCGUGCGGUACGUCGACGUCGCGUAGUCUGCAACCCUUGUCUUGACAUCCGCCGCCCCUGAAGAUUUGUUCCGCCUGUGUAGUAGGACAUGACAUCCAGUGCUCAGAGUAGUGCGGCAAGCCUUGCUCCACGAGUCAGUUCGUUACAUUUCUACGCUCGCUGACGUUGAGCUGCAGGAAAAGUCCCUCUCUGGCUUCUCCGUGCUGCUUCGAUCACAGUGCACGACUACGGAGUCGUGACACGAACACCGAUCACGACAUCCCUGUGAGUUCUUUCCGCCCGGUAGCUGUAUCAUGGCCGUUCGAUAAAGGCUCGUAUUGAAGGUCCCGGACUGUGAGGAACGUACUAAAACAAUCCCAGGUAACAUCCUUGCUCAUCUGUGGUACACUGCUUAGUCAAUCUGGAGGUUGGUGCAGGUUAAUUCACAUUCUGUGCUAUCGUAAUGGUACGCUGAUGCUGGUUCGCAUUGUGUGUGUGUGUGCGUGUGUGCGUGUGUGCGUGUGUGCGUGUGUGCGUGUGUGCGUGCGUGCGUGCGUGCGUGCGUGUGUGUGUGUGUGUGUUUUACGCGCGUGCGGCUUUGAUCCCUUCAUAUGAUUGUUGGCGUAUAUUUAGCUGGGUGCGUACUCACAACUUCCAUGGAGUUCUUGGUGACUGGCCUCGUCUCGGUUGAAUUCUUCAAAACGCUCGUUCAUGGUUCCGCAGUGAUGGACGCCAAUCUUUUCCAAAAUCCUUCCAACUUUGGCUGUUGGCGUUCCCCUUAAUUGAAGGGCGUCCAGUGGUGUAUUUGUCUGUGGCCCUUGCCUCGUCAACUUUUCUAAUCCAAGUGGUCCCUGUUGGUAUACUUACUUUGUCCAUAUCUUCCUUGUUUAUCAAGUUAUUCAUCAUGGCUGAUGCGAAGCGUCAGCGUACCGUUACACAAAGCAAUUUGUGGCAAAUAAUGGUAAUAAAACAUUUCCGUUCACUUGUGAGCAUCAUACUUAUCCUUCGAAAUAUAGUGCUGGCAUUACACCCAGCUCAUUUUUAAAAACCUGUCUACAGUCAUCAUUCAUGUUAGCGGUAAAGAUGCGUACCACUACAGGUAAGGAAAGCAGAUCCUCAACCUCCCUUCAGCAAGAUUGGACAUUGAUCGGACGCCACCGCCGCACGUGCCUGCGAUGUUAUGUCUUGAUCACUGUUUCAUCACCGUUACUUUUGUGCUUCACUGUUCACUGCCCUAUGUAAAUUUACCUGCUUGCAUCCACUUGUACUUUUCUAUAACGUGCACUUGCUGUACAAUGUUCACUGGAGAUUAAUAAAAUGACGAAGGUGUUCA